rnacentral:lncRNA from 1 species
CCUCCCAGGGUUUUUGCAAGGAUCAAAUGAGGUAUCUGAAAAGCCCUUAGCACAGUGCUUGGAAUAGUGCAGAUGCUUAAGGAGUGCUUGUUUCCUUUCUCUUCCCUCCAUCUUAUAUUUGUGAAUUUGUUAAAUCCAAUACUGAAUUUCAUUUCAUUAGGCUUAGCCUGAUGCUCCCUCCUGGCAAGAUCCUGGCUUUGUCAUCCUCCUUUUGUGUCAUCAUUCUCCAACGUAAGGGCAAAUCUGAACUGGAUAAUGGUGACUAAAUGGGAUAGUGGCUAGAACACUCUCUUCCUGGCAGCCGUAUGAGAUUGAGUCUGAUAAUGGCUGGUAAUGGUACAGGACUCCAAGAUUUGCCCUUUGCUUCAUAGAUGAUGUUCUCACUGAUCUUCAUAGAAAUGGUUCUUCCAGUCUCCAACUUACAGAUGGGGGAAGCAGCUAAAGUGAAGAAAGGACAUUCCUUGCCCCCGGUCAUAGUCCUCCAGUGACAGGGCUUAGAACUCCAGCAUCCUAGUGCUCUCUCCACCCUGGGCUCUGCCUCUUGUGGUUAAUCGUCUACUUUAAAGCAGAGAGAAAAGGACUGGGGGUGUAACAGUUAAAAUUUAGGGGAGAUGGGGAGUCUGAGGCAGGUAGAAAUUAGUUUCUCUCUGCAAGGAGUAUUAUAUUUCUUAGAGGUUUAUUAAAGGUUAAAGAUUAAAAUAUAUAUACAAGUAAGAAACAUGUGCCUAGGCCAGAGGCCUAGACAAAAUAACCUCACAUCACGCAAGAGACCACCUGCUCCAAAACGGAAGUCCAAAAAGAGCCCAGCCUCUCAAAAGCCUUUGAAUCAGCUUAAAUACCUUCUCGAUCUCGGCCCAGAUCACUGUCUGGAGUUGGUUUCUACACCCAGAGAAGACUUGGUCCUCUAUGGUUUGGAAUUCCUGGUUGACAGAAUCUUCAGGAACAAGAGAUGAAAACAUGUCCUCUGUAUAUCCCCAAACCAAUAAAUCCUGAUACCCUUCUGACCA